AGUUUAAGAACUUUCACAGGCUUGAACUUCGCUGACUGGACGCAGCGGAUAUAUCUAUGCUAUCAGGAGAACAAACUGAUUUUUUCUUUCUUUUAACAUCUACAUCUAGUUUUGUCAAUGUUGGAAAGCUUGGCGAGUUUUUGGAUUAUUGACUUUUAUGACUGCUGAGUUAAACAGCUUUCGCGUGUGACUUUUGUGUUUCUUUUAUCAAUGUAACUCUUUUGAUGUUGUCUUGUAAAGUGCAUUUAAAGGUUGCAUUCAGUGGACUCUAAACAAGCGCCAGAUUGAUCGUUUCUGAAGGGAAACGUGAAAGACAAAAGUGGACUGUUUGGGAUAAAAUUAUUUUUCGUUAAUGGAUUAUACUUCAGCAUGCACUGUCUUCUGACGGAUGUAUAUGCCAUCAUGGAUGUAUUUACGUGUGCCUUAUAUUGCUUACGAUUCAUACGUUUUCAAAAAGGACGAUGGAUAAAGAACUGUGUGGAAGGAGUAUAGUGCUGUUUUGCUAAGAAGGGAAUGGGUGCUAACGCUGUUAGGUCACCAACUUUCUUCAAACUAUCUUCUUUGGUGUUCUGCAGAAGAUAUAAACUUUGAAAUGGGAGGAGGGUGGAAAAUUGAAAGAACCCUGCCUCCAAUAAAGUCCAUGAACGGAUGGUCUAAAUUCACCUAGAAGAUCAAGGAGCAGGAUGCAGUCCAUGCCCAGACCCAGCUGAGAGAGGGAAGCAUCAACCUGACAAGAGCUGAGAUAGUAGAGCUGAAAGAUUAAAGCGGUGGCCCGUCAAGUCCUUACUACAAAAAAUGUCAACUGCUAUUAGAUUAUUAAUGAUAAUAUUAAAUCUAUUAUUUACAUUUUUACUAUGUUUAUUUUCUUUUUAUUUAGCCAAGUUGUGCAAGCACUGUUGAGCUUGAAGUUAUGCUGCAGUUUUUGCCAGAGUGGUUCCACUGGUUGAGCCUGGGUCCUCCCGAAUUUUGGGUUCCUCGCCACCGUUUGCAUACUGUUUUGCACUGUUUGCCUGACUGGGGGGGGCUGCUGACAUCCACUUAAUUAUUUAAAAUGUUUGCAUUUAUUAAUAUAACUUUAAAAUGUAACAUUCCGUUAUAUUUAUUUAUUAAUACAUAUAGGAAUUUAUAGUCUCAGUUUGUCUCUUUUAUCUUAAAUGUGUACUUGAGUGUGUGUGCGUGCUUGCGUGUGUCAGUGCGUGUGUAUUUUGUGCUCCAUGCGUAUUGAGUUGUGUUUUAUGCAUGUAGGUAUGUAUGAUCCUCUGAGCGUGUCUGUGUGUGUUCACUUUUUUUUACUAGUAUAACUUUAAUGUUUUGCUUAUAGUCAAUAUGUUUCAUUUACAGCUGCUUGUAACAAUAAAAAUUGUAAAAGGUGCUAUAUAAAUAAAGUUGACUUGACUUGA